UGACAGUCUUUGUGUAUAUAUAUUAAAAAAAAACGGUUAAAGUUAAAAAAAAAAAAGGGGUUGCAACUAAAAAACCCUAGCGAUGCAGAGAAAGGGAAGGAGGAAGAAAAAAAUGCUUGCGAUACAGAGGAGACAGAGUUCGCACGAUCGGUCAUCACCAUCCCUUGCCAGACUUAGGCCAUUAGAUCGCCGGAACCGACAUCGACAAAGGAUUUGAUUAUCAAAGGCGAUACAACCUCAACAUCAACACUAAGGGAGAGUGAUUGCAGGAAAUAAAAAAUGUUGUUGUGGGAAAAUCAAAGAAUGACAACUCCAUUGAAAAUCAGCAAAUAGAAGUAGCAUAUACGUUUGCCAAUGCUUCAUAAACGUCACAAGGCUACUAAAUAGAAUGCAUCGAAUAGGGAAAAGAAUUGAAUAGGGUACAAGAGCAACUUAUUGCUAAACUUCUAUGAUAUAACAUUUAUGUUAAGAUGAUUUAUACGGCUAUAUAAGAAUUUUUAUGAUAUAACAUUUAUAUAAUUAGAGUUUAUCUGUGCU